GCUGCCAAAGCGCUCCUGGUACUUCUUGGCAUACAUGUUGGUCUGGGUCACCAUGUUCUGAAUGACGUUGUCAGGGACAAACAACUGGAAGAAGUCCAUGGCUGUGGCAGUGGCAGGAAUUCUCUGUGUCGGACCUAAUAAAAUGAAAGCUUGUGCCAAAGCGAAGGCAGCAACCAGAUGGCCCACUUUCCCCCCAUGGUGACAGACAGAACUUUCUGAGCAAAUACGACGGAAAGAUCUGUCACUUAUCAACAGUAACGAAUCUACUCAACUUGGAAAAUGUUCAAACCACAACAAGAAAGAACAUUCCAUGCAAAUAAGGAUAAUUUCUUCUAGAAACAUUAUUGUUGCAUUUUAAUGUAUUUCUCAGUAUGUUUUGGUUCAUUAAACAUCAUUUAAUAGCA